rnacentral:snoRNA from 1 species
AAGGCAUGUAAUUAAAUGGGUAGGGGAGACAGGAGCCUAAAGCCGUAUCAUUCUAUUAUCUGUUGACCAUUUUAGAACUUUAGAAAUGUAAUGGUCAAUUCAUUAGAAAGAAAUACCC